GCGGUUAGGGUGGGGUAAGAACACUUCCGGCGGACACGUGCGAGAGGGUCAUCACUUUGCCUACACCUGGAUCUGCCUAUGCGUCUUAAUUUCACUUUCGUUUUUGAUAAUUUUUUGGAGUAGUUGAGUUAGUUUUGACGAUGUAACUCUCUAUUCGUUUCUAUUCCAGCAAUGUGUUUCUUUAUCUUAAUCUUUUUUUGAUGAUGUAUUUCUCUAAGUUUCUAUCAUGCUUACUUACUUUGUUUACUUUACUUUCCAUUUCAUGAUUUCUCAAUAUUCAAGUUUUAUUUUGACAACGUAUAUCUCAAUUUUACUUCCUCUCUUGACAAAAUAUUUCUCAAUUUCACUCUCUUUCCUGACAAUCAUUUUAGUAUCUUCUGGACAACACGAGGCCAUCAGUAACAGACGAGGGUGGGCGCCAUUAAAGAAAACAGGACAGAGCAACUUGAGGGAAAACUAUGCUAUACUGAACACACCUUUGGCUUCACUUCCGCUUCUUACUCCGCUCUGUUACUCAUGCCCUCGUGUACAUAACUUAACCUAUCGUUGACAUUACUAGCUGUAUCUAAAUUCAUACAUGCAAUCACUUAAGAGAUGGAAUAAAUGAGUAAUGCAAGGGGGAGUGAGGGGAGGAGGCAUAGGGGAGGGGCAGCAUGGGCCUGAGUCUUGGGCACCAGUGAACAGCAAUAAAAAGCGCUUUGAGUCAUAACGGCUGAAAGAAAAUUACAAACAGCAGGAAUAUGGAAAAAUAGGUGGUUUGUAUCACCCAUAACUAAAUGCUACUCUGUAAGGUCUAAAUGCAUGGGCUAAGAACAGAGGGAGGUUCAUGGGAGGAAAGUAGAAUUAGUUCACUACAUUUAUGAUCGUCCAGUGCCAGUGUCAAGUUUGUAGUCCGUGAGGCUGAGGUGGCGGCGCAGCAGACCCUUGAUUGAACGUGUGAGAUGUGCUUAAGGAAUUCUCUCUCAUUGCUUUCACUAACGUUUUCUCUGUCUCGGAAUCUCAGGUGUUUGGGGCGCCUGAACAGUUUUAUUUUUAUUUUUUUCAGCGAGAGGUAGUUUAAGGACAAAAAAAUACAAUGAACAAUAAAAAAAGCCCUCUAGACACUGUAUAUGUGUGUAUGUGUGUGUGAAGGGGUCAGCUCAAGGGUGCGUUAAAAUCCCUCAAGAGAAACGCGCUAAAUCGAGGGUCCACUGCGCAGAGACAUCCAAAUACUGAGACGCACUUUUCCGUAAACAUUUCAGGUGAGGCUAAGCUGCUGCCGGGAUGAACAAGAUUGACAGACACUCAAGAUGAACAUUUCUGAGAACGGGGGAGUGCAGCGACUUCAACAACUUGCCAGCAUACAGACUCUACCUUACACUUAGGGUCAACACUGGCAAUGGGGGGCAACUUAUACGUACAAAAAAAUCAUCUAAUUCUAGCACAUUAACACCAAUUAGAUGACCAAAACAACCAUGCAUAAGUAAGAAAAUGGCACAAGGUAUAAUAUGUGGAUCAACUAGUGACUCUGACCCUUGCUGGCGGUACAUGUAAGAACCAAUUUCCUUUGCCGUUCGUUCUUCUCGGCACAUAUCGGCAGGAAGGGUUUGAGUCAGCUGGGUCAUUGCAUCUUCCCGUCCCACCACCAAAAAAUCAAACUGUUGGCCAUUAGCAGUUGGUAUAAUGAAGAUUGAUUCACUCGACACAUAUUUCAAGAGGCAUACAAGUGGUGUGUGUGUGUGUGUGUGUGUGUGUGUGUGUGUGUGUGUGUGUGUGUGUGAGUUAAAUAUACCUUUGUCACAGUGGUAUUUGGCUACACAAUUUAAAGAUCCUUGGAGCCUUAAACAUUACAAGGUCUUACUUAACAUGAGACAAGGGGAUACCACUGAUCAGGUUACCAAUUACACCGAGCCAAAUUAGAACACACUGGUUUGUUUUACUGUGUUUUCUGUGCCCAGGGAAGUCUGUGGCUGUGUCUAAAGAUACUAACAGCCACAGCCACAGACCCCACUGAAUCACUACCACCAAAACACACACACACACUCACUCGCACGCACUCACACAAAUUUCAAUACACUGCUAACGCGUCAACAGCUUGGAAAUAUGGAGUAGGGAUAAAAAUCAUAAAUUGGUUAGAGAACUAGAGUAAAAAUAAUAAGUAAACCCUCGUACAAUGCAGCAUGAGAACAGACUAAUCUAAGAGGUAACGGCAGUGCUCACAUAGCAAAGCGUUCAGGCUCGGUACGCUAACGGAGGGAGUCUGGGGACCGCCCGUAAAUGGUCACUCUGUCACCUGGGGGAUUAUGGGACUCGGCCGUUCAUGCUCGGAAAUUUAGGCUGACACGUAAAAGGCACAAAAUUGACCGUAAAUACGUAAGUCAGUACAUCAAUUAACGUACAGACACAUGAUUCUGUUACACCAUGGCUCAAAGAGUUCAUGCCUGGCGAUCACAUUUACACACAUUCAUGAGUCUUUUUUUCCAGUACGAGGCAGGAACAAACAAACACACAGCUCAUAUAAAGUCAAGUUCUGAUGGGAGUUUUAAUCUUGAGGGUUUUAAAAGAUGCCUCUGACGGUACACCUGGUUUGACGUACACCUGUUUUUAAAUCAAGGGUUGGAGGGGAUGUGCCAGGUAUUUGGGCUACACAGAACAUGCGGGUAACUUCUCAAAAUAAGCCUCUAAGACAUGGCUGUAAAAAUCUAUGAAAAGCCAGAGGGAUAAGAGCAACACAGACUAAGAUAGGGGUAAUCCAGAGCCAUAGGACAGGAGAGUUUGCCCAAGUUCACCACAGACACCACACUGCUACCAAGAGAGAUGGACGAAAUUGAAACUGACAUUGAUACAGGUAGUGUUUUGAGGGCACUGGGUAUGUCUUCAAGGUCCUGAUGAUACCCUGAGCCCCCAAAAUCACCCUUGUAUCAGUAUGUUUAAAUUCCACACAGAUCUUUCCGUAACAACAUGGGAGAUGGGUAACUCUCCUAUUCUGCGGCUCUGGGGUAGACUAUGGUAAAAGCUUCAGGGUCUUGGAAGCAUGAAAGGAACUGGGGACUGGGGUGUGAGAGAAUGACCAUGGGGGUGUGGCUAGGCCCUGAGGGGACAUGAUAGCAUCACCUCAGAGCCCAGAGUUAUGGAAUGGGGUAUCGCAGCUCUCCACCUCCUCCACCUCCUUCUUCUCUCCGUCCUCCUCCACGUCAUCCCAGUUAGGUGUGUUUGCUCAAGUCCACCGCUCUAUUUUGUAUUGGUAUCAUCAUAAAAGCCUCUAUUUUGUAUUGGUAUCAUUAUAAAAGCUUCUAUUUUGUAUUGGUAUCAUUAUAAAAGCCUCUAUUUUGUAUUGGUAUCAUCAUAAAAGCCUCUAUUUUGUAUUGGUAUCAUUAUAAAAGCUUCCAUUUUGUAUUGGUAUCAUUAUAAAAGCUUCUAUUUUGUAUUGGUAUCAUUAUAAAAGCUUCUAUUUUGUAUUGGUAUCAUUAUAAAGCUUCUAUUUUGUAUUGGUAUCAUUAUAAAAGCUUCUAUUUUGUAUUGGUAUCAUUAUAAAAGCUUCUAUUUUGUAUUGGUAUCAUUAUAAAAGCCUCUAUUUUGUAUUGGUAUCAUUAUAAAAGCUUCUAUUUUGUAUUGGUAUCAUUAUAAAAGCUUCCAUUUUGUAUUGGUAUCAUUAUAAAAGCCUCUAUUUUGUAUUGGUAUCAUUAUAAAAGCUUCUAUUUUGUAUUGGUAUCAUUAUAAAAGCCUCUAUUUAGUAUUGGUAUUAUCAUAAAAGCCUCUAUUUUGUAUUGGUAUCAUUAUAAAAGCCUCUAUUUUGUAUUGGUAUCAUUAUAAAAGCUUCUAUUUUGUAUUGGUAUCAUUAUAAAAGCCUCUAUUUUGUAUUGGUAUCAUUAUAAAAGCUUCUAUUUUGUAUUGGUAUCAUUAUAAAAGCUUCUAUUUUGUAUUGGUAUCAUUAUAAAAGCCUCUAUUUUGUAUUGGUAUCAUCAUAAAAGCUUCUAUUUUGUAUUGGUAUCAUCACAAAAGCUUAGGAAUAUUUAGCUGAGGUUUUCAUCUGAACUGACUUAUCCAGCUCCAUAAGGGAAAAUAGGGACGUUAAAUGAAGAAUGAUUUAGCGUAGAUGUGAAAUUGAUUACAUUAGCGUAGGUGUGAAAUUGAUUACAUUAGCGUAGAUGUGAAAUUGAUUACAUUAGCGUAGGUGUGAAAUUGAUUACAUUAGCGUAGAUGUGAAAUUGAUUACAUUAGCGUAGGUGUGAAAUUGAUUACAUUAGCGUAGGUGUGAAAUUGAUUACAUUAGCGUAGAUGUGAAAUUGAUUACAUUAGCGUAGGUGUGAAAUUGAUUACAUUAGCGUAGGUGUGAAAUUGAUUACAUUAGCGUAGGUGUGAAAUUGAUUACAUUAGCGUAGGUGUGAAAUUGAUUACAUUAGCGUAGGUGUGAAAUUGAUUACAUUAGCGUAGGUGUGAAAUUGAUUACAUUAGCGUAGAUGUGAAAUUGAUUACAUUAGCGUAGAUGUGAAAUUGAUUACAUUAGCGUAGGUGUGAAAUUGAUUACAUUAGCGUCAGUGUGAAAUUGAUUACAGUAUGCUUUUUCUUCAUCAUCAUCAUCAUCAUCAUCAUCACCUUUGGAUAUGAAAAUGAAGAAGAAUGAUUUAGCCGAGGUAUAUAAAUUCACCCUCUUUCAACCACCUCUUUGGAUUCUUUUUAGGAGCAGUGAGUGGCGGGCUUUUUUAUUUUUUAUUAUUUCCUUUUUUUGUGCCCUUGAGCGGUCUCCCUUGUUGUAAAAAUUAAAUAAAUAAACAAAAAUAUGGUAUGCUUUUUGUUCUUCAUCAUCCUCCUCCUCAUCAUAAUCAUCACUUUUGGAUAUGAAAAUGAAGAAGAAAGAUUUAGCUGAGGUAGGCCUAUAUAAAUCAACUAUGGUAUGCCCUCUGUUCUUCAUCAUCCUAAUCAUCAACUUCAUCAUUAGCUUUGGAUGUAUAAAUAUAUUGAGAUGUAAUGACUUUGAUGUUCCUUCUAGUUAGUUAAGCAAACCGAGGAUUUACUGGGUUGUCAAAAAGAAGUUUAGUAACAAGACUUUCCUUCUCUCUCAUUUCUUAUUUCUCUCUAACUUUUUUUUUCUUUCCUCUUUCUCAUUUCUUUUUUCUUCCCUCAUUCUAUGGAGUAAUAACUGAAACAGCGGAGAUGAACUAGCAAACACGUCCCAACAUGUCCCACCCACACACAUUACAGCACCUCGACACAGCACAUUACCAGUGAUGGACAGUGGAGAGCUUGCCACAUCAUCACCAAACACCAGGACGCAUUGACGGCAGAAGAAGGAGCAGGCUUUCCGAGGGGGCAGCAGGAGUGAAUGGGUGAGAGGCAGGGCAUGGAGGAGGAGCGUGGGAGGAGACGAGAAUCAGCCAGGCGACAACAGACAAGGCGAUUAGAAGCGUGCAGAUCAGGGCGUCUUCAGUGCGACUCGUAAAAACAGAAGCGUGGGGUCUAGGGGGCAUAAAAAAUACUAUCGACUUCAUCAUCCAGGAAAACACUAGUGGCGGGAAAUGAGAAAUGGAGCCCCAAAGCCGUUUUUUCUCUCUCUCUCUCUCUGCAUGUGUCUAUGGAAAAAUGGGUGAGAUUCUAUACUCUCUGAGGUGAUGGUUAGGUGUUAGUGCUGGGUGUAAGGAUGUUAUAUGAGGCGUGGAGUGUACUUUUGUGGGAGCGGCGAGUAGCGGACUUUUUUUUUAUACCCUUUUAGUUGCCCUUGAGCCGUAUCCGUUGAUGUUAAAAAAAUAAAUAAAUAAAUAAAUAAAUAAAAAGGGUGACCUGCCAUAGUAUAGUUUCGAGCACAGCAUUUUCUAGCGACUGGCAGACUGUACACACUCCACACCAUUUGAGUCUGACAGGAAAAUCACACAACUUUUAGCCUUGGAAUCACCCACUACAAGGUCACUUUCUCCUUAACCCGGUAGCAGCGGGGAUCAUGUUUCUUAAUGGUCCCCCCAAGCGAGAAAAAUGAGAAAAAAUUACCACUCACACAAACCAUUUCAUAAUAUAUAUCAACGCAUUUGUGAUCAGUUUAUGUAUCAUCUAUUUUUGGGGGUUUAUAUCAUGGCAUAAAUUUGGCCCGUCGCUGCUACACGGUAAAGCCACAAAUUUGGCCCGUCGCUGCUACACGUUAAAGCCACAAAUUUGGCCCGUCGCUGCUACACGGUAAAGCCACAAAUUUGGCCCGUCGCUGCUACACGUUAAAGCCACAAAUUUGGCCCGUCGCUGCUACACGGUAAAGCCACAAAUUUGGCCCGUCGCUGCUACCGGGUUAACUUGCGUCACCCUACAGCGCACCAUGAAUUUAGAUGCUACCAGACUCCACCGAACACAGAAUACCACCUUAAAAUUGGUGUAUUCGCCCAUGUUACACUAUACGCCUCAUAUAAGUCUGGUGUGGUGUAUUUUGUAUGUCAGCUGUGUGGCGUUAGAAAAAUAUGCGUUAGGGUCAGCUGUGUUGCUCGUCAGGACACGCCGAAUGAAUGAACUAAGAACACUGUAUUGAUUCUAGCGUGUCAGGAGUGUUAGUCAAGCCUUGUGUUGCGUUAGUGAGGUGUUAGAUGCAGCCGUCUGUCUUUAGUGAGCUGAGUGUGUUGAUAGUGAGGGGGCGGUGUGCUGCUAUUUUGAGGCACGUUAGCAUAAGUCGAUAUUAUAAGUCACUAUCAACUAUUCCUAAAGGUCAAAGAGGGGGUCAAUCAGGUUCUAAUGCGUGUUUCUUUAGCCUCAUGGUACAGAGGAAGGCUCAAACUAUCACCAGGGUCAUAAAACUACUCCUGGAAAUGCCCAAAACUCAAACGACAGCCUUGGCAAAUAUGUGAACUUGGACGAUGAAAUGUCUUGUAAUACUGUAUGGACUCACAAACUCACACUUUUAGGGGGCCGAGGGGUUAGGGGGAACUAUGAAAAACAGAAUCACUAAACUCGUAAGGAAAGUUAAGUUAUAAUUGCUGUGGUGUGCUCGUAAAUCUUGUGGUAUGGACUCACAAAUUCACAGUUUUUUGGGGGGAGGUCAAGGGAUUAGAGGGAGCUAUGAGAAACAGGAUUAGGGAACUCGCAAAUUUAAGUUAUAAUUGCUGUGGUGUGCUGGUAAAUUUUGUGAACUUGAUGUAUGGACUAACAAAUUCAGUUUUUUGCGGGGUUGAGAGGUUAGGGGAAGCUAUGAGAAACAGAUUAGGGAACUCGAAAGGAAAGUUAAGUUAUAAUUGAUGUGGUUUGCUGGUAAAUUUUGUGGUUCUGAUGCAAGGACUAAAAAAUUCUCACAGUUUUUGGGGGUGUCGCAGGGUUAGAGGGAGCUAUGAGAAAGAGGAUUAGGGAACUCGAAAGGAAAGUUAAGUUAUGAUUGCUGUGGUGUGCUGGUAAAUCUUGUGGCACUGAUGCAUGGACUCACAAAUUCACAUGUUCGCUUGGGGGGAGGGGCAGAAAGGGGAGAACUAUAAGAAACAGAAUCACUGAACUCGCAGGGAAAGUCGAGUUAUAAUUUCUGGGAUGCUAAAAUAAAAGUCAAUAAUGCACGAUGAUCAACUCUCAAACUCACACUUCUCGGGGGAAACUAUUAAAGACUAGACCAGUGAGUUCGCAGGGAAGGAAAUUCAAGAGUGGUAAGGCGGGGAU